CUGUAACUUUUGACAUCUGUCAAAAUCAUCAAGUAUGGCCUAGAACUACAAAAUAAAUUGAAACGAUUCCAAUCAACCAUGCCCACAAAGUGACGAAUAGCAUUAACCAAAAAAAAAAAAAAAUACAUUCCCUAUUUAACCUUAGGGUACAAUAGCGUAAACAAAAAUUGUGUCACUAACGAAAAUGGGUAAGGUGCCUUAUUUGUCCGAUUCCGAAGCCACGGACGACACCUGCAGCUCAUACGAGAACGGGAGUCGGAAAAAGAAAUUCUCCAUACUGAAAUGCACGACCGGUAAUAUAAAGAAGAAGAAAUGUAAGGUCCACAGCAAGUCGGAACCCGACGACUCGGACUACCGCAGCCGGACUAGGAGCAGGAGCAGAAGUGGUAACCGAGUGAGAUACAAACUACCAGGGAUCCUCAAGCGCGACAAGGAUGGAGCAUCUUCAGACGACGACGAAGAAAGCGAAGUGCUAAGACCCAAGUCUCAAGAUAGAUGUCUCGUCGGUCGAGUGCCCAGACCGGCUGGGGCGAAGCCCGGUCGUGGCGGAGGCGUCGCUAUCGUUGUCAAGAGGAACGUCAGCAAAAGGGAGAGCCGUCGUCCCUGGGACAUCAGCGCUCUAAACUACUGAGCUAACGAGCCAUUUGUUUGGGGGGAUGAAAAGCAAGAAUUGUUCCCUUGGAAUUUAGAAUCACAAAAAAAAGAAAGAACAGAUUUCCAAGUCUCCAGCCCCAAGCAUCGACUAGCAUCCCCAAGCACAAGAGAUCGUCGCGGCGACAGCUUUCCAAGAAACUGUCUUAUUAGUAGACGUUGCAAUCAACGAAUAAAGCGGUAAAGAAGC